GGUUUAUUUGUCUGUUGUGUGAUACAUUC
rnacentral:piRNA from 1 species